rnacentral:rRNA from 1 species
UACGUAGGGUGCGAGCGUUAAUCGGAAUUACUGGGCGUAAAGCGUGCGCAGGCGGUUAGUUAAGUUGGAUGUGAAAGCCCCGGGCUCAACCUGGGAACUGCAUUUGUGACUGCAAGGCUAGAGUACGGCAGAGGGGGAUGGAAUUCCGCGUGUAGCAGUGAAAUGCGUAGAUAUGCGGAGGAACACCGAUGGCGAAGGCAAUCCCCUGGGCCUGCACUGACGCUCAUGCACGAAAGCGUGGGGAGCAAACAGG